AUUGAACGCUGGCGGCAUGCCUUACACAUGCAAGUCGAACGGUAACGCGGGGCAACCUGGCGACGAGUGGCGAACGGGUGAGUAAUGUAUCGGAACGUGCCCAGCUGUGGGGGAUAACUGCUCGAAAGAGCAGCUAAUACCGCAUACGACCUGAGGGUGAAAGCGGGGGAUCGCAAGACCUCGCGCAAUUGGAGCGGCCGAUAUCAGAUUAGGUAGUUGGUGGGGUAAAGGCCUACCAAGGCUACGAUCUGUAGCUGGUCUGAGAGGACGACCAGCCACACUGGGAGUGAGACACGGCCCAGACUCCUACGGGAGGCAGCAGUGGGGAAUUUUGGACAAUGGGGGCAACCCUGAUCCAGCCAUGCCGCGUGCGGGAAGAAGGCCUUCGGGUUGUAAACCGCUUUUGUCAGGGAAGAAAUCCUUUGAACUAAUACUUCGGAGGGAUGACGGUACCUGAAGAAUAAGCACCGGCUAACUACGUGCCAGCAGCCGCCGUAA
rnacentral:rRNA from 1 species